UACGGAGGGUGCAAGCGUUGUCCGGAUUUAUUGGGCUUAAAGGGUGCGUAGGCGGCCCGUUAAGUCAGUGGUGAAAGCCUCCAGCUCAACUGGAGAACUGCCAUUGAUACUGACAGGCUUGAGUACAGACGAGGUUGGCGGAAUUGAUUGUGUAGCGGUGAAAUGCAUAGAUACAAUGAAGAACUCCGAUUGCGUAGGCAGCUAGCUAGGCUGUAACUGACGCUGAGGCACGAAAGCGUGGGGAGCGAACAGG
rnacentral:rRNA from 1 species